rnacentral:tRNA from 1 species
GGUGGCUCAGUGGUAGAGUGCAUGCCUUGCAUGCAUGAAGCCCUGAGUUCAAUUCCUCAGUACCA